rnacentral:lncRNA from 1 species
CCAAGAGUAGAAUUACUUCAGGUUAGAGGGAGUUGGGGGGCCCUGGACCAGCUCUACAGAAUGGAGAGAUGAAAGGGGCUGGAGGGCGGGUAGCAUCUGAUCUGACAGAGAGGGCCAGAGCAAUUAUAUUCAUCCAGGGGCUCCUAUGCCAUGCGGAGGUCUCUGCUGUACUAUUCCUGCCCUGCAGACAUUAAGGGUAGUCUGCUGUUUACCUAGAAGAGUUUAUAUAGACAAUAGUCAAAAGCCUGGGGUCCAGGGAGCCAGUAUUGGGAGGCCAGUGGCCAGCCUGGAGGAAGAAGAGAGUAGGUGGAGAGAGCUGGAGACAUAGUGCUCUUUUCCAAAGGCCACACCUAUGCUCACGAACUUGGGUUAUGCCUCAGGCCUUGGGUGCUGGGGGACAGCCCAACAGGAACGAGAACGUUUCCUAAGCAAAAGAUAAACUCUGAGGGCACUACCUGGUUCCAGGCCCAAGGAAGGCGUGUUUUUAGCCCCCUGUUCCAGCCUCGUACCCUGGCAGUCCUGGUCCAUCUUACUGAGCACAUAUCCGCACGCCUCAUGCUCCCCAGGGCCAGUUUUGUAAGCCCAGAAGUCAAGGCCUAACUUGAACCUGAUGAAUGAAUCAGAUCAAAUACAUGCUGUAUGCUCCCAGGCCUGAUUUCUCCAACUCCUCCAGGCCACAUCCAAGGGGGAGCUGCCGAAAUGUCCAUGCCUCAGUUUCCAUGAGGAAUAGCAUUCAGCAGUUCAGGUCUGUGAUGGACUCUAAGAACAGCGCCAGGGCCAGGCGCGGUGGCUCACACCUGUAAUCACAGCACUUUGGG